rnacentral:rRNA from 1 species
AGGCGAAAGCGGGGCACUGGGUCCGCACUGACGCUGAGACGCGAAAGCGUAGGGAGCGAACGGGAUUAGAUACCCCGGUAGUCUACGCCGUAAACGAUGCGCACUAGACUUCUGCCCCUCUGACGGGGCGGGAGUCGAAAAGAAACCGAUAAGUGCGCCGCCUGGGGAGUACGGCCGCAAGGCUAAAACUCAAAGGAAUUGACGGGGGCUCACACAAGCGGUGGAGGAUGUGGCUUAAUUCGAAGCAACGCGCAGAACCUUACCCGGGUUUGACAUGCUAGAAUUAGCUCCGUGAGAGCGGAGUGACGCGGCUUGCCGUGGAACUAGCACAGGUGCUGCAUGGCUGUCGUCAGCUCGUGUCGUGGGAUGUCGGGUUAAGUCCCUGAACGAGCGAAACCCUUAUCGUUAGUUGCCAGCGCGUUAUGGCGGGCACUUUAGCGAGACUGCCGGUGUUAAACCGGAGGAAGGUGGGGAUGACGUCAAGUCCUCAUGGCCUUUAUGUCCGGGGUUGCACACGUCCUACAAUGGGAAGGUACAGAGCGACGCGAGACCGCGAGGUGGAGCAAAUCGCACAAAACUUCCCUCAGUUCGGAUUGCAGGCUGCAACUCGCCUGCAUGAAGCUGGAAUCGCUAGUAAUCGCGUAUCAGCUACGACGCGGUGAAUAUGUUCCUGAGCCUUGUACACACCGCCCGUCAAGUCAUGGAAGCUGGUAGUACCCGAAGUCCGUUAGCUAACUUCGGAGGCGGCGGCCGACGGUAAGACCGGUGACUGGGACUAAGUCGUAACAAGGUAGCCGUAGGGGAACCUGCGGCUGGAUCACCU